UUCCAGAGCUGCUCUUUCAAAGGGGACAAGCAGUCCAUCGGAGAGAAAGAACUUAAAAAAAUUAUAUUAAGAACAACAAAAACCAGCCAAGCUAAUUCCACCACACAUAGUUCAGCAAAGAAAAGGAUUCAUCCUUAAAUCACUUUUCUCAUCUUUCCUUCUCAGUCUGUUCCUGUGGUAGAGCUUUUCACGCUAUUAAAAUGUCGUAUGUGGGUCUGUAUGUGUAGUUUAGAUUUCCAGCAGAGGGAACAGUUGUCUUUCUCACAUUUCUCAUGCUGAAGAAAUAUUUCUGUAAAAUAAUUUUGACUUUGGGAGAGAAGUGGAUCUCAAGAUCUGUGAAAUUCAUGCUGCCUCUUUCCAACCAAUUCGUGGCAGUAAACAAGACAGUAGGAUGGUGUGGUGGGUUUAGCACAGCUGUAAAUUCUUCAGGGAGUAUUUCUUAUAGUGUUUUAUGAAUCCCGUUCACAGAACCUGCUUUAUCAGGAAAAAACACUGGAUUGGAGCCAAAGCCUCAGUCAAACUGAUCAAGCCAAAGAAGGAGACUACAAGGGAGCGGCUGAAAGCAGCAGCAGCAGCAAGCCCUCCACGGCAUUCUGAAUCCCCGGAGACAGUAAACUCUCCAUCUGCCUCCCAAAAACUGAAACAUCGAGAAACUCAGGAUAAUACCUCUCAAGGGUCAACCUCUAUGGAAGAGUGAGACAACCCUGGGGGUUCUUCCAACAAAGUGCUAAUGGACCAAAACCAAAAAAAGGAAUUCCCGUCACGGAGGCAGCAACGAUAAUGUUGAAAUCUCAGCAGACUGCGAUAAAACGCUGCUGUGUGGAGCUGGGUCCCAGGACUUCCUCAACCUCCGCUGUUCGUCUGCACACUUCCACCCCCAUCUCCAGGCUCAGGGCAGACCAAAAGGCGUGCGGUGCAUUUGGUGUGCCAGCUGUUAGUACCAGUCAGGCUACUUCGUAGCUCCUGCUUGGGUGAAGCACGGCUUCUGGUGGCGUUCAAGAACAAAAACAGAGCACUAGUAUUUUCAUUCCUACUUUUUUCUGGUUUAAUUGAACAGAUACAGGGUUUCCUUACUCUUGUAAUGUUAUCAACUUGACAGACCACAUUUGGAUGUCAGUUCUAUUAUGGUUCCUUGCACAAUGGUUCACAGCAGUGGUUAGAAGAUGGCUGCUUCUACUCUAUAGAGAGUGUUGUCUCUAUAAAACCCUCUUGAUCACCUCAGUCUUGCAUAGUGCUAGAACGCAUUGGAGACUGACCUGAAGGAUUAGCCUUCCUGUGUUUAAUUGCCUGUUAAGUUUUGUGUUAUUUUCAGGCUAUAAUUCAGAAAAUAAUCUAUGUCAACAGUACCUUGAGGUGGAGUUUGCAAGCACCAGACAGCAUGGUUCCUUAGAUCAUAUCCAUGGUAGAACUGAGAGCCUCAGCAGCGAAGAUAUGGUGCCAAGCGGAGAGGCACCAUCCCUUUCACUCUUCUGCCUUCACCCUUCACUCUUCACCCUUCUGCCAUCCGAAGCCCUAGCAGCAGGUGUGAGUCCUCCUCCCACAGGAACAGUUUGAUCUCUUAUGAUAUACCUCAGAAGAGUACUCCAUCCCACCCUUACGCAGGCAGGCAACGGUCUGCCUAACCUGGCAGUGUGACGGUAACUUUGGAAGGGUUUUUGGAAGAGAGCAACAGGUUGCCUCCACCAAGUGUAAGUAAACAGAGCUAAGUAGCCCAUCUCAGACGUCAAAAUGUCUCUCAAUGUCAAGAUGUUCAAAGCUGAUUCAGGGGGAUGAGGGGCAUAAGGAAACAUGGAAGGAUGAGAAGAUCCUUGUUCAUACGUGUGGAACUUGCAGAGAAUCUUGCAAAAAUGAAUGAAACAGUUCCAACAACUAAGGCAAGAUUAAGUUUCACGCAGCACUCUGCUAGUUUAUUUUGGUGUAUUAGCAAGCCAGGCAGAUAAUGCACAGCAAGUACUAUGUAUUGGACUGCUAGGGCUUUUUAAUAUCAAACACUUGUGGUCGAGGUUUCGGAUUAUAUCAUCAAUUCUCAGAUCCAGGUAUUUUUAUUUGUGAACUGAUAAGUUCUCUGUGCAAUUUUCAACUGCCGAAUCUGUAAUUAGAAAUGAAACCUAACAGCAGUCUUCAAUUGAAGUGCAAAAUACGCAGUUGUUAAAACCAUCUCCUAAUCUGAAAAUACCAUCAGUGCAUUUGAGAGAGAAAAAUUUUCUUGCGGAAGGAAGUUCUCGAUGCUUUCACCGUGCUGCCUGUUCGUGUGCUGACUGGCACCGUGCUGUUGGUUCAAUAACUGCAAGAAUACGUUGCAUGCUGAAGUGCUUUGUCAGAAAUGAAAUGUUUGUUUUCUAGAUGGCAUUUGUCUUUUACUGCUCAGACAGUGCAGUAGUGAGGCAGUGCAGUAUCGAGCAUGUUAAUAUCUUAAGAACAAUUCAUUGACAGUGUAAGUGAACAGAUGUUUCUGUUUCGUGAAUGCCUUGGUAACAGUAUUGAAAUUAACAGACUUGUACCAUUAUAUGACAUCAGUAAAUUCUGGCCCUUGAAUUUUCAGAGCAAUAUUUAAAUAUACCUCCUAUUCCCUCAUAAUCCUAAAUACAAUUCUUAGCUUUCAGAAAUGUUUAAAAUUUGAUUUAUUUUUUUUUGUCUGUAACUACCUGACCAUGUCUCCAUUUUCAUUCUUUCUGUGACCCAUGUUCCUUUUCAGCGUCCGCACAGUUUAAAUGAGACUGCAAUGAUUUCAUUGCACUGAUUUCUGUUAGAAACUGAUGCACUGUAUCCCUCUUGCUACUCCUUAUGUCCUUCUCUCCAUCAGGAACCUUCACGGUCACUCAAAUCGAUUCUCAGUCAUUCAUGUCCCGAUAGCAUGAGGCACAGAACAGGCAGGGGAAAUAGAUCUACUUCACUGUAUAUCCCCAGGGUAUCUGUUGUUCUUGCUAUGAAGGCAACAGCUCCCAACUUACCACAGCUUUUGCAAGUGUAUUAAUACCUAUCAAAGUAUCCUGUAACUCUUAGCUGUUGUUUUAAAGGCUGCCAGGUCACUUGCAUUAAUUGCUCAUAAAGUAUUUCCAGUGCUUGCUCAUAAGCAUGCGUGGUUUUGGAGGACUAGUCAUUCUAUAAUGUUAAUGUGCGUAACAGCAGUUUAAAGUGAAGUUAAAAAUAACCCUAACGCUUUAACGUUUAGUUGAGCAUAGAAAUCUUUCCGCUGCGCUGUUACCAUUGAUGGUGUUCACUUCUAGAAAAUGAGUUUUGUGACUGGAAGAAAGAUUUGGAAUGCUAGUGAAAUGAAUAUAUUAAGCUUUAACAUACUCCCCAGAGAAAAAUAAAGAAAUAAAUUCCAUGAGCUUGUUACAGCAUGUUUUUCAUGAAGACAGCAUGUUCCUUAACUAUUCUGAGCAUGCCUCAUACUAGUAAGUCCAAUGGCAGCUGAUCAAACAUCACCAUUUUUGGAUUGCAUGGACCAUCCCCAGGAAAUAUUCAUUGUAUAUUUUCUUUUACUGACAGGUUAAUUGUCUGACUUGAAAUUUGCAAGUUAGUUGUGGGCAAGCAAUCGUAUUUCCGUUUGUGUAAUGAUUUUUGGUACAUUUCAUUAGAUUGUACAUGCAACUUUAGACAUAUAUAGUAUAUUGACUGGGAGAGGUGAGGAGAAUCAAUGGAGAAGCAAAGAAACUUUCUUGUAAUGCUAUCACAUCUCCCCAAGGUAUUCUCUCCUGUUAUAUCCCUGAAGUUACAGUAGAGUGUUACCCAGAUGAACUGUAUUCUGGAAGAUGACAGCCCAUCACUGAUGUUUGCUGAUACCAAUGGGACCGUGGAGGAGCCCAUGAGAGGAAGCAGCUCCAACAGCACUCCCGGGUCAUCGGGCCCCCAGGGGGAUCAGCAGGUGGUUUGGUAUGAGUAUGGGUGUGUGCAACCCACGGAUGCAGCUAGUAGUAUGUGUGUUUGGUGUUGCUGAUGUCUGGGUAGCAUUUGUCUAAACACUGUGCCAGGUCUUAAAAGGCACCGCCUGCAUGCUGCUCUGAACGUUCUCCAGGCAGUGUUUUCUAGUAGGACAAAGUAUGAUGAAGAGAAACAAGGAGCAAAACCCCAGCCCUUCUUUUGACGCUGUUGUGCCUAAAACAAAGUAGAAGCCUGACCUAAUCUCACGGCAGGCUUGGCACCUGAUUCUCACAGGUGCUGAGCAUUCCCCACUCCAGGAGAAGCCUAGCAGGGUCCUCUGUCAUCGCUGCACUAUGCACCCCUCCUACCUACAUUAAAGAAGAGUUUCACAGGUCACAUGCGCGUGCGCUGAACCCAGACCCACUAUUGAUAAGUAACCACAAUGAAAAGCCAAACUUCUCUGCCAAGGACAGAACCAGAUACUUGGCUUAAGUAGCUUAAUGAUAAAGCUGAAGAGCAAAAGUGUGUGGCUUUAGCCAUGGAGCUGUUAAAAACAAUUCUUGCCACAGCCACAUUGUAUAGAGGUAAACAUGUAGACUUCAAGGGUCACAUCUCAGCCUUCCGUGCUGGGACUGUGUAAACACAGAGAGGCCAGGGUAAUUACCCACUGCCUUCACUACAGCUGCAGCUCAGUGGAUCCUUGACUCCGCAAGCCAAGUGGUGCUGCCUUUUGAAAGUUGUUUUAUCUUCCAUACAAACACUGGAAAUAACGCAGCCUUUCAGGGGAGAUGCCAUUUCAGUUGCAAAGGUGACAUCUCACAUACAAAAGUGCCUUCUAAGUAUGCAUAUAAGAAGCUCAAGUAUUGUAUAAGAAUGCUGUGUAAAUUGUGUUAUUACAUCCUUGCGUGCAUGACAGCCCACGUCCUAAGCGAUAUGUGGGAUUUUGUCUCUUAGAAAUCCGUGUUUAUGCCUCCAAGAACUUUGCUCAGUAUAGAAAGCAAAGUAAUUUUGUAUAGAUGUGAAAGAAAUAUACUUUUUAAAAUCCAUUUAUCUGCAAAGAAUUUCCUCGUAUGUUUCUGUCCAGAGUGCCAUCGUCUACUUAUAUAUAUAUGACCAAAUGCGUAUCUUUAAUUCUAUUACAUGUUCGUAAAGCUGUUUUUCUUGCAAUAGACUAAAUCCUUAAAAACGUACUUGUUUUGCUGGUUCUGAUUUAAUCUAGUAAAAGUUAAAACCGAUUCAACUGAGGAUGUUUUUGUUACCUAGUAUGUAGUAAUCCCAUUCUGGAAACUACAAAGCUGCUUAUAAAAAAAAAAAGACUGAAACAAAAUACAUGGAGAGAAAUUAUUCAUCUUUCAUCAUGGGGAGAAUGGCAAAAGGAACUUUCUGCCUUCUCUGCAAUUUUAAUUGAGAACCAUAGUUGUGCAACAAUUUUAAAAUUAUGUGGCAUACAGUAAUUUUAGAACAUACUGAGUGGUUUUGCUAAAUGGAAAUUCUCCCAGAAAUUCCCUCUCAAUAUGGAUUCUUGGCCAGAUCACUGAAGACUGGUGUGUCUCCCUUGUUUCAUCUCCUUUUUGGAGGCAUGUGCUCGAUUGCCCUGCAGGCUGGACUGCUGAGGAAUGGACCUGUGAGUCAUCAGUUACUCUACAUCUGCUUUUGCUAUAAAUACCUGCCCAGUCACUUACAUCUUAUUUGUUGUUUUCCGAGUUAUUUACAA